AUUGAACGCUGGCGGCAUGCCUUACACAUGCAAGUCGAACGGUAACAGGUUAAGCUGACGAGUGGCGAACGGGUAAGUAAUGUAUCGGAACGUGCCCAGUCGUGGGGGAUAACUGCUCGAAAGAGCAGCUAAUACCGCAUACGACCUGAGGGUGAAAGCGGGGGAUCGCAAGACCUCGCGCGAUUGGAGCGGCCGAUAUCAGAUUAGGUAGUUGGUGAGGUAAAGGCUCACCAAGCCGACGAUCUGUAGCUGGUCUGAGAGGACGACCAGCCACACUGGGACUGAGACACGGCCCAGACUCCUACGGGAGGCAGCAGUGGGGAAUUUUGGACAAUGGGCGCAAGCCUGAUCCAGCCAUGCCGCGUGCGGGAAGAAGGCCUUCGGGUUGUAAACCGCUUUUGUCAGGGAAGAAAAGGUUCUGGCUAAUACCUGGGACUCAUGACGGUACCUGAAGAAUAAGCACCGGCUAACUACGUG
rnacentral:rRNA from 1 species